CCAGUACUCCCUCCGUUCCAAAAUUCUUGUUUUAGAUUUGUCCAGAUACGGAUGUAUCUAAUACUAAAACGUGACUUGAUACAUCCGUAUUUGGACAAAUCUAAGACAAGAAUUUUGGGAAGGAGGGAGUACAUC
rnacentral:pre_miRNA from 1 species